CUGGAGCUCCGGAGAGAGAAGGGCUGCGGCAAGCAGGCCCUCGCAAAGUGAAAUAGAGAGAACAUGCCUGAAGCCAGGGAUUGACAGGGCAGCUGACUGGGGACACCCCAGGACAGGAGCCAGGAGGAGCACUGUGCCAGGGAGGAAUCGCCCGAGAUGGACGAGCCGGAGCUGGAUCCAGUAUCACUGCUGGCCAGAGCUGAAUGGGGCUGUGAUUGCCUAGUUUGCCUAUAUGGACGUGCUGCCCCUGUGGAGGGGUUCGUUGGGGAAAGUUUACUGGCAGUGAAGAUGACCAGGAGCACCCAAGACUCACCACUGGAUUGGAACUUUGCUCAGGACUCCUGAACUCUGUGUGCAGACACAUUGCUCAGUGUCUGCCCUUUCAGACUACGCUACCACUGGGCCUGUGGGUGCCUUGUGUUGAAUGCAACCUUGUUUUACCGCUCCCCUUAUGUUUCCCCUUGUUAUUUUUCUCCUCUCAUCCUUCUAAGUAUGGAGCCCAGAGAUCUCUGCACUAUCGUUGUGACCAUUACAAGCACAGGAUGAAUGAUCCUCCAAUAUGUACAGAACCCCAAGAACUGCAACAACCGUGGACAUGACAAUUUCUUCAAGGGCAAAUUGCUGAGGACACAGCGAAAACCAACUCAAGAUUGUUGUUGGUAUUUAUGGAGCAGCUGCAGACAGUCAAGCACCAUGUCUGGCCCUGAGAAAUGAGACCUGACUGGUGGGACUGCAUCAUAAGGCAGGUUUGGGACAACAAGCAGUGGCUACAGAACUUUUGGGUGCAGAAACACCAGAAUGAGAGCUGCACUGACAGUUGAGUAGUGAAAGGUUAGAGCACUAGGGAAGCUUGCAAUACUGGAUUGCAACCAGUCAGCAAGAAAUCAGUUUGGAGUUAGAAAAUCCACAGUGGGGUCCCUUGUUAUGUAAGUUUGUAGGGCCAUUAAUUAUCUCCUGCUAUGCUGAACUGUGACUCUCAGCAAUGUGCAGAACAUAGUGGAUGGAUGUGCAGCAGUGGGGUUCCCGAACUGCAGUGGGGUACUAGAUGGUACUCACAUCCCUAUUUUGGCACCAUCCCACCUUUACACAGAGUACAUCAGCAGAAAGGGCUACUUUUCUAGAGUUAUGGAAGCAUUGAUGCAUCACUGGGAUGCUUCACUGACAUCAAUCUGGGCUGGUGAGGGAAGGUUUGUGACACUCGCAAGCAAGGACAUUCUUUCCUAAUGGGUGGAUUAACACUGGUGAUGUUGAAAUUCCAAUACAGAUUCUGGGGGUCCCCGCCUACUCCUUGACCCUGGCUCAUGAAGCCAUAUGCUGGUCAUCUUGUCAGCAUCAAGAAAAGAGUCAACUACCAGUUCAGCAGAUGCAGAAUGACUGUUGAAUAUACUUCUGGUAGAUUAAAGGGACCAUGGCGGUGUUUACUCACAAGAUGGGAUAUUUUUCUCAUUAAAAUUCAAACAGUUAAAGCCUCCUGUUGUGUGCUGCAUAAUAUCUGUGAGUCAAAGGGGGAAAAGCUGCUGCCAGGGUGAAGAGUGAAGGUGGAGCAUCUGUCUGCUGAGUUUCAUCAGCCAGAUACAAGAGCCAGUAGAAGAACUUGAUGCACAGCUAGAUGGCUGAGGGAGGCCUUGAAAAGAGCACUAUUAUGGUCAGCACAGUCAGAGUUGUGUGGGGUAGUUGCUGUUCUCUACCUGGCCCUGAUGUUUUGGGGGCUGUUAGGAAGUGUGUGGUGCUUGCUGCACAUUUAUAAUUAUUACACUGUUUUUCAUUGAAAUUUGAGUUUUGUGGUCCUGUUUACUCACAA